rnacentral:tRNA from 1 species
AAGAUCACAAAUUAAGGCUGCUAACCUUACAAUAAUGAAAUCAUUUGAUCUUU